rnacentral:rRNA from 1 species
GACGAACGCUGGCGGCGUGCUUAACACAUGCAAGUCGAACGGAGCGAAUGAAAGCUUGCUUUUAUGAGCUUAGUGGCAAACGGGUGAGUAACACGUAGACAACCUGCCGAUAGGAUGGGGACAACAUUCCGAAAGGAAUGCUAAUACCGAAUGGCGUGGAGGGAAGGCAUCUUCCUUUCAUGAAAGAUGGCCUCUAUAUAUAAGCUAUCACCUAUCGAUGGGUCUGCGUCUGAUUAGCUAGUAGGUAAGGUAACGGCUUACCUAGGCGACGAUCAGUAGCCGGUCUGAGAGGAUGAACAGCCACAUUGGGACUGAGACACGGCCCAGACUCCUACGGGAGGCAGCAGUGGGGAAUCUUCCGCAAUGGGCGCAAGCCUGACGGAGCAACGCCGCGUGAGUGAAGAAGGUCUUCGGAUCGUAAAGCUCUGUUGAAGGGGACGAACGUAUAUAGUGCGAAUAUU